rnacentral:rRNA from 1 species
GACGAACGCUGGCGGCGUGCUUAACACAUGCAAGUCGAACGGAAAGGCCCUGCUUUUGUGGGGUGCUCGAGUGGCGAACGGGUGAGUAACACGUGAGUAACCUGCCCUUGACUUUGGGAUAACUUCAGGAAACUGGGGCUAAUACCGGAUAGGAGCUCCUGCUGCAUGGGGGGGGUUGGAAAGUUUCGGCGGUUGGGGAUGGACUCGCGGCUUAUCAGCUUGUUGGUGGGGUAGUGGCUUACCAAGGCUUUGACGGGUAGCCGGCCUGAGAGGGUGACCGGCCACAUUGGGCCUGAGAUACGGCCCAGACUCCUACGGGAGGCAGCAGUGGGGAAUAUUGCACAAUGGGCGGAAGCCUGAUGCAGCAACGCCGCGUGCGGGAUGACGGCCUUCGGGUUGUAAACCGCUUUCGCCUGUGACGAGGCGUGAGUGACGGUAAUGGGUAAAGAAGCACCGGCUAACUACGUG